rnacentral:rRNA from 1 species
ACAGGACUUCGGUCCGCUGACGAGUGGCGCACGGGUGAGUAACGCGUGGGUUACCUGCCCAUAAGUGGGGAACAACUUGGAGAAAUCCAAGCUAAUACCGCAUAAUACCUUCGGGUUAAAGAGGGGGAUCUUCGGACCUCUCGCUUAUGGAUGGUCCCGCGUCUGAUUAGCUAGUUGGUAGGGUAAUGGCCUACCAAGGCAAUGAUCAGUAGCUGGUCUGAGAGGAUGAUCAGUCACACUGGAACUGGGACACGGUCCAGACUCCUACGGGAGGCAGCAGUGGGGAAUUUUGCACAAUGGGCGAAAGCCUGAUGCAGCGACGCCGCGUGCGGGAAGAAGGCCUUCGGGUUGUAAACCGCUUUCAACAGGGAAGAAGGAAUGAGAGCUAAUACCUCUCUGCCUUGACGGUACCUGUAGAAGAAGCACCGGCUAAUUUCGUGCCAGCAGCCGCGGUAAUACGAAAGGUGCAAGCGUUGUUCGGAUUUACUGGGCGUAAAGAGAUCGUAGGUGGCUUGUUAAGUCGGAUGUGAAAUCCCGGGGCUCAACCCCGGAACUGCAUCCGAUACUGGCAGGCUUGAGUUUGGGAGGGGUAAGCGGAAUUCCGUGUGUAGCAGUGAAAUGCGUAGAUAUACGGAGGAACACCUGAGGCGAAGGCGGCUUACUGGACCAAUACUGACACUGAGGAUCGAAAGCGUGGGUAGCAAACAGGAUUAGAUACCCUGGUAGUCCACGCCCUAAACGAUGUCAACUAGCCGUUGCGGGUAUCGACCCCUGCAGUGGCGCAGCUAACGCGAUAAGUUGACCGCCUGGGGGGAGUACGGUCGCAGAUUAAAACUCAAAG